UACGUAGGGGGCAAGCGUUGUCCGGAUUUACUGGGCGUAAAGGGCGCGUAGGCGGCCAGUGCAAGUCAGUUGUGAAAUCUCCGAGCUUAACUCGGAAAGGUCAACUGAUACUGCUCGGCUAGAGUGCGGAAGGGGCAACUGGAAUUCUUGGUGUAGCGGUGAAAUGCGUAGAUAUCAAGAGGAACACCUGCGGCGAAGGCGGGUUGCUGGGCCGACACUGACGCUGAAGUGCGAAAGCUAGGGGAGCGAACGGG
rnacentral:rRNA from 1 species